rnacentral:pre_miRNA from 1 species
AAUACCUCAGCCUUAUCAGGUGUUGUAUAUAUUCACCUGGAAGUACUGAGGUUGAGU